GAUGAACGCUAGCGGGAGGCUUAACACAUGCAAGUCGUGGGGCAGCAUAAUGUAGCAAUACGUUGAUGGCGACCGGCGCACGGGUGAGUAACGCGUAUGCAACCUACCCUGUACAGGGGGAUAGCCCGGAGAAAUUCGGAUUAAUACCCCAUAAAGAUAUGAGAAGGCAUCUUUUUAUAUUUAAAGUUUCGGCGGUACGGGAUGGGCAUGCGUAACAUUAGCUAGUUGGUAGGGUAACGGCCUACCAAGGCAACGAUGUUUAGGGGUCCUGAGAGGGUGAUCCCCCACACUGGUACUGAGACACGGACCAGACUCCUACGGGAGGCAG
rnacentral:rRNA from 1 species